UGCCAUUGCUAAGUCAAGGCUUCUUCCAGCGACUAUAUGUCGUGCUAUUCUCCAUGGAAGUCUGUCUGUUACAGCUCUGGUAGAUUGACGCUGGCCCGCGCCGACCUUCUUUCUGAAGCUAGGCUGAUGGGCUUUCGUUUUGAAAGCUCGUCGUAAGGGCCGAGCUGUGCUCCGUUUUUGAGUUGAGUCCUGCUUCAGCCAUCCGGCUGCUUCGUAGCAGGUCUCUUAGUAACGUUACACACAUUC
rfam:Aspergillus bombycis strain NRRL26010 contig00162, whole genome shotgun sequence.